AGGCGGCGUGUAGCCGCGUUUCUUCCGUACGUCAUUUUCGCCCCCAAGAAAAUUUCUCCCCCCUUUUCUUCAGCCAUCUCCGGGCGCAGCCGGUGUCUCCCAUUUCCUACGGGAGGCAUCAUCUCAUACGGGAGGCCGCAGUGGGGAAUAUUGCACAAUGGGGGAAACCCUGAUGCAGCAACGCCGCGUGAGUGAUGACGGCCUUCGGGUUGUAAAACUCUGUCUUUGGGGACGAUAAUGACGGACCCAAGGAGGAGCACAGU
rnacentral:rRNA from 1 species